AACGCACAUUGCGCCCCCUGGUAUUCCGGGGGGCAUGCCUGUUCGAGCGUCAUUACAACCCUCAAGCUCUGCUUGGUAUUGGGCUCUGCCGGUCCCGGCAGGCCUUAAAAUCAGUGGCGGUGCCAUUCGGCUUCAAGCGUAGUAAUUCUUCUCGCUUUGGAGACCCGGGUGCGUGCUUGCCAGCAACCCCCAAUUUUUCCAGGUUGACCUCGGAUCAGGUAGGGAUACCCGCUGAACUUAA
rnacentral:misc_RNA from 1 species